CUCACUCAUCAAUGUCCAACUAUGUAACAGCCUUGUCACCCGACCAGAUAACUGUUCAUUUAUCAAUGGUGAAUAUCUAAAAUCUGGUUUAGAAAAGUUAGAGAAAUGGUGCUCCGAGACAAAAGAAGAGUAUGCUGGCUCAUUAUGGGAGGAAC